CGAGUUGUAAUCUGGAGAAGCGUUUUCAGUGCCGGCCCGCGUACAAGUCCCCUGGAACGGGGCGUCGCAGAGGGUGAGAAUCCCGUCUCCGACGCGGUCUCGCCGGCACGCUGCGAUGCGCUCUCGAAGAGUCGAGUUGUUUGGGAAUGCAGCUCAAAACGGGUGGUAAAUUCCAUCUAAAGCUAAAUACUGGCGAAAGACCGAUAGCGAACAAGUACCGUGAGGGAAAGAUGAAAAGCACUUUGGAAAGAGAGUCAAACAGUACGUGAAAUUGUUGAAAGGGAAACGCUCGAAGUCAGUCGCGUCUCUCGGGAUUCAGUCGUGCGAAGGCGCGACGUACUUCCCGGGUCUGGACGGGCCAGCGUCGAUUUCCGGACCCGUCGUAGAAAGGCGUGAGGAACGUGGCACCUUUCGGGGUGUGUUAUAGCCUCGCGUUCGUAUGCGACGGUGGGGAUCGAGGCAUGCAGCGCGCCUCUUAACGGAUGGCCGGGGUUCGCCCACGUAACGCGCUUGGGAUGCUGGCUUAAUGGCUUCGAGCGACCCGUCUUGAAACACGGACCAAGGAGUCUAACAUGCUCGCGAGUGUUCGGGUGGAAAACCCGCGCGCGUAAUGAAAGUGAAAGGUUGGGACCCUCCUAGGAGGGGCACCGACGCCCGGACUUGAGCUUCUGCGACGGUUCCGAGGCGGAGCGCGUAUGUUGGGACCCGAAAGAUGGUGAACUAUGCCUGAGUAGGGCGAAGCCAGAGGAAACU
rnacentral:rRNA from 1 species